GCAAGUAACACCAACUUCAUAUACUUGUGUGUUAUAAAUUAGGAUAUCUUGAAUACAUGGUGACCAUAAACCAAACUAAUAUGGCUUCUAAAACAACUUCACUUAUUGGGGUUGCCCUCAUACUUUUUGUGAUUUCAUUGUGUACCAUAAAACUAGUUGGAGAUUCUGAGCUUCAUGCAAGGUCGUAUGAAAUGGCAAGUAGUAGAAGGUUGCUUGGGGAAUCAAAUCUUAUAAAUCAAAACAAGCAAGCAUUUGAUAUGCCUCAUGGCGGAAACUAUGGACCUAGAAAGGGGGCCAAUAAAGGCCACGGUUCUCCUUAAUUUUUUUUCAAAAAAUUUAUACUAUAGUAUUUUAUUAUAUUAAUGGUUUAUUUUCAUUUUUAUUCCUCUAUUUUCUUAAACUCACAAAAAUAGCCCCCUUUUUAUAUUUCAACUUUUUGUGCUCUAUUUAUAAAUUUGUUGUAAAUUUGAUCUUAGUGAAUGUUAUUCCAAAUAAAAAUUGUAUUCUUUGUACUAAAAAAGUGAUUAUAUUGUCUCAAUAUUCAAUAUUAAAUUUAAUGACAAAAUAUUUCUUUUGAGACUAAAAUUCACCUUUUUUUUUAUGCAUGGAUGUCGCAAUUUUAAGGCACAAUGCAUGAGUUGAGACCAAAAUUACAAUAAACGUGAAAAUAAAUAGGCCAAAAAGUUCAACUAAAAAAAAGUGGCUCAUAAAAUGCAAAUUCACAAAUAUUAACUUUGGAUUUAUUUUAUAAUUUGUUGUAUGUUCAGUUCCCCUAAACUGAAUUCCUACCUCCGUCCCUGACCAUCCAUGAUCUUGAUCUUGUCUUACUAUUAGAUUUAAUGGCUCUGCUUUGUUGAUGUAAAUUGUAAUCGCAAGGUUUUGUUUCUAUAUAUGGAAAAUGCUAAAUAGUGUCUCGGACACUAGUUAAGCAUAUUAAUAAAGAAAAUUGUCUUAAAAUUUGAGCAUGGAAUAUUUUAAAAGUGUAAAAAGUUAUCUUAGCCUAAAGAUAUAUAUAGAUUGGUGUUGUUGUACCCCUAGGCCAGUAAAUUUGUAUCAUCAAAGGAGAAAAAAAUGUUGUGUAAUCAAACUCUAUCAUCUUAAAAUUUUAAUUAGGUGUAUUUCAAUCUUAUAUGGGACUGACUUGUAACUUUGAUGUGGAGAAAGGAAGUUACCUAUGAGAGUUUAAGAUGAUAAUAUCUGAUAGGUCAGUCAGUUUUGUUGUGAAGAAGCAAAAUAAAAAAUGAAUUGGAAAUGGUCAAAGAAGAAAAGGCAAAAAAUUCCAAUUUGGAGAGAAGACUUGUGAUAGUGAAAGAUCAAAGAAAAUGAAGACACAAACAACAGAAGAAGAAAAAACAUGCAGAAACAUUAUGAAGUACAAAAAGAUAAUUUUUUUUUUCCUUAAUUUGAUGAGAUUUUAAUAAUUUGUAUUUAGAUUAUUUGAGACAUUAUGAAUUUAAUAAGAUAACCCUCUUGACUUUUGA